CUUCCUCUAUUUCUUCUGCCAGAUCUGUUGUAUUUGGAAGAAUCAUCGAAUUUAUUA
rnacentral:sRNA from 1 species